rnacentral:lncRNA from 1 species
ACACUCAUUCAGCAUCUCCCACCACCACCACAGACAGCCCUGUGGAGCAUGGGGCUCAUCUCCUGCUGUGUUCAGCUUCUGCCAGAUCACUUACCUGUGCCAGGAGACAGAUGCCUCUGGACAUGCACUGCUCCCCUUCCUCGCUGAGAGGGCAUCUCCCCGCUGGCCUCUCCAUCCCAGUCGACUCUCCAGGUGUGCCCAUUCCUCAACUGGUGUGGCCUCACCAAAGAGACUCAGACCAACCAGGCCUCCACAGCCUCUCUCUAGACACUUUCUGGGAAACCACAGUGGAAUACAGAAGGUCCUCAUUUGCCCUGAGCCCUGGGAAGCCCGGUGGCAUUGGUUCAUGAGUGCUGUGGUCAGUCAUUUGGAACUUGAUUCUCUUGGUAUUUGCCACUUCCCAGUUGUCCCCUUUACUGUUUGCAGUCCCCACCUCAUAAUCCUCGCCUUCCUGGCUCUUCCGGAGCCCAUAUUUAAGGUACCAUUUUUUUGUACCCCAAUUUAGGGCACCAACUGUUCUGAUCUCUUGAAGGGCUCCUCAGGCAACCUUCUGUUUGUAGCAAGAUGAUACACCCAAGCCUUGAUGACAAGGCUUGACUCGCAACCUCCUUGCUCCCCACCUCCUGGGAAAUAAAGAAAUUUAGUGAUCAUCGGGAAUGCUCUGGCCCAAACACUACCUGCCAGCCAGACAUGGGAGACAGAUGGCUCAGCAGUAAUGGGGCUGCAUGACCUUGGUGUCUAAUGGGGACAGUAGUGACAGGCGACAGGAAGUUCACAGGGGCUGGAAGACAUGAGUUCUCCAAGGGAAAGGAAGGUGAAGCCUGGUGCUUAGGUCCCUCGACCAUAGGAUGUGAGAAGACUCGAGAAGCCCAGAGGUGUGGUCAGAAAUGGGGCAAAGGAGACCAAGCAUGGGAGGGCUACAGUGGACGUGUACAGAUAGAAGAAGCAGGCCCUAAAGAAUCCCUGAGGGGGCAGAGAGGCUGGGCUAUAGAACUUUGGAAUUACAUUAGGGGUCUAUAGAGGCCCAGAAGCCCACUCUUCCUCCUCCCUCACCAGUUUAACCCCAACAUAUGGUGGCUACCAAAGUAGUCAGACCGGCUCUUGGUAGAAAAGGAAAGAGAUUCCUCCCAGGCUCUUCCCAGGGUCCACAGCCAUGCUCCAGGAGGGCUCAGCUCCAGGGUGAGGCAGCAGCUGGACAGCACCUUAGGGAGGAAUGCAGUGCGAGUGGGGAGGACUCUGCUGGGACCUGGGGGGUCAUGUGCAUUCCCAUUUAGUUGAGCUCUGCUUAAUCCAGGCCUAGGUUCACAGUAAUGGGGAAUGAGGAGAGGCUCCCAUCAGAGACCAAGGCAUAGAAGACAGCCUCUCUGUAAAGGCUGUCAGAGGGGUCUGUGUGGCCAGCCACACCUGCUCCCAUUCCUUUGGGGCUCUUGUGACUUCCCUGUCUUCUUGUGAGAUCUUAUGUUCCUCCAACCCUGAGAGCUUCAGACCAAUUCCCAGAAUAGAAACAAAACCUGCCCCUUGU